GACGAACGCUGGCGGCGUGCCUAAUACAUGCAAGUCGAACGCUUUUUCUUUCACCGGAGCUUGCUCCACCGAAAGAAAAAGAGUGGCGAACGGGUGAGUAACACGUGGGUAACCUGCCCAUCAGAAGGGGAUAACGCUUGGAAACAGGUGCUAAUACCGUAUAACACUAUUUUCCGCAUGGAAGAAAGUUGAAAGGCGCUUUUGCGUCACUGAUGGAUGGACCCGCGGUGCAUUAGCUAGUUGGUGAGGUAACGGCUCACCAAGGCAACGAUGCAUAGCCGACCUGAGAGGGUGAUCGGCCACACUGGGACUGAGACACGGCCCAGACUCCUACGGGAGGCAGCAGUAGGGAAUCUUCGGCAAUGGACGAAAGUCUGACCGAGCAACGCCGCGUGAGUGAAGAAGGUUUUCGGAUCGUAAAACUCUGUUGUUAGAGAAGAACAAGGAUGAGAGUAAAAUGUUCAUCCCCUGACGGUAUCUAACCAGAAAGCCACGGCUAACUACGUGCCAGCCGCCGCCGUAA
rnacentral:rRNA from 1 species